rnacentral:lncRNA from 1 species
UUUUUUUGUUGGUGCUUGGUGUCUGAGAUCAUUCCUGGUCUUUGGUAAGGUUGGUGUGUUGUGCCUGAAAUCAUCCCUGGUCUUUGGAAAGGUUGGUGCUUGGUGCCUGAGAUCAUCCCUGGCUCUUUAGUUUGGUUGGUGCAUGGUGCCUGAAAACCUCUUAGGUCUUUGGUUGGGUUGGUGCUCUUUGCCCUAGUUCAUGCCUGUUCUUUGUUUUGGUUGGUGCUCGGUGCUGGAGAUCAUCCCUGGUCUUUGGUUGGAUUGGUGCUUGGUGCCUGAGAACCUCUCAGGUCUUUGGUUGGAUUGGUGCUUGGUGCCUGAGAACCUCUCAGGUCUUUGGUUGGGUUGUUGCUGUACAAUAUUUUGUUAUCAGUGUAGACAAUUUUCUGUCACUUCUUUUGUUUAUGUGUUGUCAUGUCUUUUUUCACCACAUGGGUUUAGAUUGGCCCUUUGGUAUCUUCCUUUUUUUAUGUAUGAUCUUGUUAAUCAUUAUACCUCACUGUUUGAAUUUU